GACGAACGCUGGCGGCGUGCCUAACACAUGCAAGUCAAGGCGGUAGCAAUACCGACUGGCGCACGGGUGCGGAACACGUAGGUAAUCUGCCCUCAAGGGGGAGCACAACUCAUCGAAAGGUGAGCUAAAUCUCCGUAACAUAUUCUGGUGGCAUCAUCGGGAUAUCAAGCUUUCUUGGGGAUGAGCCUGCGUCUGAUUAGCUAGUUGGUAGUGUAACGGACUACCAAGGCUACGAUCAGUAGCUGGUCUGAGAGGAUGAUCAGCCACAUU
rnacentral:rRNA from 1 species